UUGUACAUCACACAUUUUCACUAAUUAAAUUAAUUAAAAGACCUUUGAUAUCGUAAAAUCGAAUAAUAUACAAACGUCGAAUAUUUAGCGCCACAAGAAACGGCCGUUUUACAAUACUGUUUCUCGCUUCUACCUUUUCUCCUACAAAAUUAUUGUUCACUCUCUCCAUCUACCGCAUUUAUCCCUAUAGUGUAGUGACAAUUUGACGUGAGAAAACGUUGAUGAAUACGAGGAUCGUAAAGUUCGCAUAAUUCGCUACAAAAAAAGCUGUUUUAUUUAAAAAAUCUUACAGAUUUGUCGUGAAGAUAUAUAAAACACAGACAAAUCUUUCAACAGAGAUAUUUUCUUAGUUAAACUAAGCCAGGCAGCUGCAACGCACUCAGUUGGGGCGAACACGAGACAUAUACUUGCAAAAGGAUUUUGGAAUUAGGCUUCGUGCCGUAGCAAUUACGCACCGACAGCAACAAGUAACAUAAUCGAGAGUCUAUCAAUGGAGGUGUACCUCAAUGAAACCGAAUGUCUCAUGUCGAGUUUAUACACAAACUAAAUAAACGUAUUUUAAGAAAACUUUA
rnacentral:lncRNA from 1 species